CACGUAGUUAGCCGUGGCUUUCUGGUUAAAUACCGUCACUGGGUAAACAGUUACUCUUACCCACGUUCUUCUUUAACAACAGAGCUUUACGAGCCGAAACCCUUCUUCACUCACGCGGCGUUGCUCCAUCAGACUUGCGUCCAUUGUGGAAGAUUCCCUACUGCUGCCUCCCGUAGGAGUCUGGGCCGUGUCUCAGUCCCAAUGUUGCCGAUUACCCUCUCAGGUCGGCUACGUAUCACUGCCUUGGUGAGCCUUUACCUCACCAACUAGCUAAUACGCCGCGGGUCCAUCCAGAAGUGAUAGCAGAGCCAUCUUUUAAAAGAAACCAUGCGGUUUUCUCUGUUAUACGGUAUUAGCAUCUGUUUCCAGGUGUUAUCCCCUACUUCUGGGCAGGUUACCCACGUGUUACUCACCCGUUCGCCACUCACUUCGUGUUAAAAUCUCAAUCAGUACAAGUACGUCAUAAUCAAUUAACGGAAGUUCGUUCGACUUGCAUGUAUUAGGCACGCCGCCAGCGUUCAU
rnacentral:rRNA from 1 species